rnacentral:rRNA from 1 species
AUUCCAGCUCCAAUAGCGUAUAUUAAAGUUGUUGCAGUUAAAAAGCUCGUAGUUGAAUUUCUGUACAGUCCCGGUUCUGGCUUCGGUCAAGCCGUGGAUUGUGCAUCCGCUUGCAAAUCUAGCUCGGCCUUCACUGGUCGACUAGGGGAGUAAGCCCUUUACUUUGAAAAAAUUAGAGUGUUUCAGGCAGGCAAUGGCUCGAAUACAUUAGCAUGGAAUAAUGGAAUAGGACCUUUGUCCAUUUGGUUGGUUAUUGGACAUGAGUAAUGAUUAAAAGGGACAGUUGGGGGCAUUAGUAUUUGAUAGUCAGAGGUGAAAUUCUUGGAUUUAUUAAAGACUAACUUAUGCGAAAGCAUUUGCCAAGGAUGUUUUCAUUG